rnacentral:rRNA from 1 species
CAGCCGCCGCGGUAAAACGGAGGGUGCAAGCGUUAAUCGGAAUUACUGGGCGUAAAGCGCACGCAGGCGGUCUGUCAAGUCGGAUGUGAAAUCCCCGGGCUCAACCUGGGAACUGCAUUCGAGACUGGCAGGCUAGAGUCUUGGAGAGGGGGGUAGAAUUCCAGGUGUAGCGGUGAAAUGCGUAGAGAUCUGGAGGAAUACCGGUGGCGAAGGCGGCUCCCUGGACAAAGACUGACGCUCAGGUGCGAAAGCGUGGGGAGCAAACAGGAUUAGAUACCCACGUAGUCCCUGUCUCUUAUAC